rnacentral:misc_RNA from 1 species
UGCAAAUGUUUGUAUUUUAGAUAUUCAUUUAAUUACUAGGUUGCGUCUUUUGAUUGCCUGACUAUUUUACUCAUUUAGUGCAAAGAAUUGCUCAUUGUGCAAAAGAAAUGCAACAGAUGAUACUUGUUGACAGGAUUUUGUCCUUUUAUAAAUAAUUUUCUUAAUAUAUAAAUAAAAUUACCAAGACAGGCACAGAUAUAUCAUUGGUCUAUCUCAAACAGAAGUGAUCAUUCAAAAACUAUGAACUUGAAAAAACUGUUUUACUUGACCAUAAAAG